rnacentral:rRNA from 1 species
GGCUCACCUAGGCGACGAUCCCUAGCUGGUCUGAGAGGAUGACCAGCCACACUGGAACUGAGACACGGUCCAGACUCCUACGGGAGGCAGCAGUGGGGAAUAUUGCACAAUGGGCGCAAGCCUGAUGCAGCCAUGCCGCGUGUGUGAAGAAGGCCUUCGGGUUGUAAAGCACUUUCAGCGGGGAGGAAGGCGGUAAGGUUAAUAACCUUGUCGAUUGACGUUACCCGCAGAAGAAGCACCGGCUAACUCCGUGCCAGCAGCCGCGGUAAUACGGAGGGUGCAAGCGUUAAUCGGAAUUACUGGGCGUAAAGCGCACGCAGGCGGUCUGUCAAGUCGGAUGUGAAAUCCCCGGGCUCAACCUGGGAACUGCAUUCGAAACUGGCAGGCUAGAGUCUUGUAGAGGGGGGUAGAAUUCCAGGUGUAGCGGUGAAAUGCGUAGAGAUCUGGAGGAAUACCGGUGGCGAAGGCGGCCCCCUGGACAAAGACUGACGCUCAGGUGCGAAAGCGUGGGGAGCAAACAGGAUUAGAUACCCUGGUAGUCCACGCCGUAAACGAUGUCGAUUUGGAGGUUGUGCCCUUGAGGCGUGGCUUCCGGAGCUAACGCGUUAAAUCGACCGCCUGGGGAGUACGGCCGCAAGGUUAAAACUCAAAUGAAUUGACGGGGGCCCGCACAAGCGGUGGAGCAUGUGGUUUAAUUCGAUGCAACGCGAAGAACCUUACCUGGUCUUGACAUCCACAGAACUUUCCAGAGAUGGAUUGGUGCCUUCGGGAACUGUGAGACAGGUGCUGCAUGGCUGUCGUCAGCUCGUGUUGUGAAAUGUUGGGUUAAGUCCCGCAACGAGCGCAACCCUUAUCCUUUGUUGCCAGCGGUUAGGCCGGGAACUCAAAGGAGACUGCCAGUGAUAAACUGGAGGAAGGUGGGGAUGACGUCAAGUCAUCAUGGCCCUUACGACCAGGGCUACACACGUGCUACAAUGGCAUAUACAAAGAGAAGCGACCUCGCGAGAGCAAGCGGACCUCAUAAAGUAUGUCGUAGUCCGGAUUGGAGUCUGCAACUCGACUCCAUGAAGUCGGAAUCGCUAGUAAUCGUAGAUCAGAAUGCUACGGUGAAUACGUUCCCGGGCCUUGUACACACCGCCCGUCACACCAUGGGAGUGGGUUGCAAAAGAAGUAGGUAGCUUAACCUUCGGGAGGGCGCUUACCACUUUGUGAUUCAUGACUGGGGUGAAGUCGUAACAAGGUAACCGUAGGGGAACCUGCGGUUGGAUCACCUCCUUA